AAUCACUUGUUCUUUAAAUGAGGACUAGUAUCAAUGGCAUCACGAGGAUCUUACUGUCUCCCCGCUCCAAUCAGUGAAACUGAUCUUCCCGUGAAGAAGCGGGAAUAUACCUAUAAGACGAGAAGACCCCAUGGAGCUUUAAAUCCAACAGCACCUAUUACCCAUAUAUCUUUAUAUUUUUUUAGCAAAUGCUCGUUCGGUUUUAGGUUGGGGUGACCAUGGAGUAAAAAAUAACCUCCACGAAAAAAGGCAUAAAACCCUUAUCAAAGAGCCACAUCUCUAUGAAUUAGUAAACUAAUUUCUGAUGAUCCGAUAUUCGAUCAACGAACCAAGUUACCCUGGGGAUAACAGCGCAAUCCGCCUUAA
rnacentral:rRNA from 1 species